AAAAAUCCCAUCGCGAGCCGCCACCCGUAGCUCCCUCCAUCUCUCGCCGAAGUUUGCAAAAGCUAGGUUUCCGGCGAACUCUCCGGUGAGUUUUUCCGGCAAAACCAUGGCGUCCCGGCGUUAGCCAUCACCAUGAAGAGUUUCAUCUCCGGCGAGAAACCUCCAUUGCUGGUGAGAUCGACCUUGUUUUUCCUGCGUUCUUCGGCAUUUAGGGCCCUUCCUCGGCUUGUCCUGAUCACACGCCACCGGCCACCGGCGCCCUGGCCAGUGUGACGCCGUGUCCUGCGUCGGCGCCGCCAGCGCACCGUCCUUGUGCUCGCUCGAGCAGGGCGAGGCCUCGUGCCCUCCCCCACUUGCUACGGCUCGAGCAGGUCCCAGCCGUGACCCGUGGGCUCCUCCGCGCUGCAGCUGCACGCCGCGCACCAGGCGGCCAAGGUCCGACCGAGCCCUUCCUUCCCACGCACAGCACGAGCAGCAUGUUGUCCUGGUUCGGUCCGUACAAAAUCUCAAGAAGAAGCGUGGUUCGUCAGCAUUGAAGAUCAGGCGCUGAGGACCGAUAAUCGAAGCAGAAGUUGGAGAUCAGAAGAAAGAAGCCAAAGAAUUCUGAGCAGAUAAACACUGGGAAUUAAGGCAAGUGCAGGCACCCUUUGA